rnacentral:rRNA from 1 species
UACGUAGGGGGCGAGCGUUGUCCGGAAUUACUGGGCGUAAAGCGCGCGUAGGCGGCUUUGUAAGUCAGAGGUGAAAGCCUGGAGCUCAACUCCAGAACUGCCUUUGAAACUACAUCGCUAGAAUCAUGGAGAGGUUAGUGGAAUUCCGAGUGUAGAGGUGAAAUUCGUAGAUAUUCGGAAGAACACCAGUGGCGAAGGCGACUAACUGGACAUGUAUUGACGCUGAGGUGCGAAAGCGUGGGGAGCAAACAGG